rnacentral:rRNA from 1 species
AUGGGAAACAGGUUAAUAUUCCUGUACUUGGUGUUACUGCGAAGGGGGGACGGAGAAGGCUAUGUUGGCCGGGCGACGGUUGUCCCGGUUUAAGCGUGUAGGCUGAUUUUCCAGGCAAAUCCGGAAAAUCAAGGCUGAGGCGUGAUGACGAGGCACUACGGUGCUGAAGCAACAAAUGCCCUGCUUCCAGGAAAAGCCUCUAAGCAUCAGGUAACAUCAAAUCGUACCCCAAACCGACACAGGUGGUCAGGUAGAGAAUACCAAGGCGCUUGAGAGAACUCGGGUGAAGGAACUAGGCAAAAUGGUGCCGUAACUUCGGGAGAAGGCACGCUGAUAUGUAGGUGAAGUCCCUCGCGGAUGGAGCUGAAAUCAGUCGAAGAUACCAGCUGGCUGCAACUGUUUAUUAAAAACACAGCACUGUGCAAACACGAAAGUGGACGUAUACGGUGUGACGCCUGCCCGGUGCCGGAAGGUUAAUUGAUGGGGUCAGCGCAAGCGAAGCUCUUGAUCGAAGCCCCGGUAAACGGCGGCCGUAACUAUAACGGUCCUAAGGUAGCGAAAUUCCUUGUCGGGUAAGUUCCGACCUGCACGAAUGGCGUAAUGAUGGCCAGGCUGUCUCCACCCGAGACUCAGUGAAAUUGAACUCGCUGUGAAGAUGCAGUGUACCCGCGGCAAGACGGAAAGACCCCGUGAACCUUUACUAUAGCUUGACACUGAACAUUGAGCCUUGAUGUGUAGGAUAGGUGGGAGGCUUAGAAGUGUGGACGCCAGUCUGCAUGGAGCCGGCCUUGAAAUACCACCCUUUAAUGUUUGAUGUUCUAACGUGGACCCGUAAUCCGGGUUGCGGACAGUGUCUGGUGGGUAGUUUGACUGGGGCGGUCUCCUCCUAAAGAGUAACGGAGGAGCACGAAGGUUGGCUAAUCCUGGUCGGACAUCAGGAGGUUAGUGCAAUGGCAUAAGCCAGCUUGACUGCGAGCGUGACGGCGCGAGCAGGUGCGAAAGCAGGUCAUAGUGAUCCGGUGGUUCUGAAUGGAAGGGCCAUCGCUCAACGGAUAAAAGGUACUCCGGGGAUAACAGGCUGAUACCGCCCAAGAGUUCAUAUCGACGGCGGUGUUUGGCACCUCGAUGUCGGCUCAUCACAUCCUGGGGCUGAAGUAGGUCCCAAGGGUAUGGCUGUUCGCCAUUUAAAGUGGUACGCGAGCUGGGUUUAGAACGUCGUGAGACAGUUCGGUCCCUAUCUGCCGUGGGCGCUGGAGAACUGAGGGGGGCUGCUCCUAGUACGAGAGGACCGGAGUGGACGCAUCACUGGUGUUCGGGUUGUCAUGCCAAUGGCACUGCCCGGUAGCUAAAUGCGGAAGAGAUAAGUGCUGAAAGCAUCUAAGCACGAAACUUGCCCCGAGAUGAGUUCUCCCUGACUCCUUGAGAGUCCUGAAGGAACGUUGAAGACGACGACGUUGAUAGGCCGGGUGUGUAAGCGCAGCGAUGCGUUGAGCUAACCGGUACUAAUGAACCGUGAGGCUUAACC